GCCCGGUGUUUUCUUGGCAGUGUGCAUUCGAAGGACAUUACUCAAACAAGACAGGAGGAGGAUGUGAGGAUAGAAGAGGAGGAGUAAGAGAAGAUUAUGGAUGCAGAGAGAGAGUUUUCUGAGGUAUUAGCGAGUUCUACAACCUGCAGUAAACUAACUUAAGGUAGCGUUCUGAACUGAUGCAUUGAUGAGAAUUCCUCUGGCUUAGAGGGAGAAGACUGCUUGCUGUACUGGUCGUGGGUCGUGUGAGAGACGGAGGCUUUGCUGAACAUCGCUCCAAUAAUCGAGGCUCAUCCCAAGAUCUGAAAAUGCCAGCACAAUCUGAAUUACAAAUGAUCCUCAGCGAUCUCUUGAUGAAGAACACGCCACCUCCUGAGGAACUGUGAGCAAAAACCAC
rnacentral:lncRNA from 1 species